CCGCCCCUUAUUUAAAGUACUGUAGUUUUGACCUUGACCAGUAGUGACCUUGACCUUGUUACUAAAGAUGAACAGUCGCUCAUAAAAAAAAUAGCCUAUUCGCGUGAGAAUCUUAAGCUUUCUUAUUUUGACAUAAUAGCUAUUUUUCAAUAAAUAUAUUGAUUUAAUUAAACUUAUUGAAUCAAUAUUGUAAGUUCCAGGCCAGUUGUACCAAAAGUUAUAAGCGCUAGCGUGCACCACAUUGAAAAUUUGAAGUCUCUAGACCGUCGGAAAUGUCAUUUUUAGACUCUUUC